rnacentral:rRNA from 1 species
AGCGAACGCUGGCGGCAGGCUUAACACAUGCAAGUCGAACGCUCGUAGCAAUACGGGAGUGGCAGACGGGUGAGUAACGCGUGGGAACAUGCCCUUUGGUUCGGAAUAACUCAGGGAAACUUGAGCUAAUACCGGAUAAGCCCGAGAGGGGAAAGAUUUAUCGCCGAAGGAUUGGCCCGCGUCCGAUUAGCUAGUUGGUGAGGUAACGGCUCACCAAGGCGACGAUCGGUAGCUGGUCUGAGAGGAUGAUCAGCCACACUGGGACUGAGACACGGCCCAGACUCCUACGGGAGGCGGCAGUGGGGAAUAUUGGACAAUGGGGGCAACCCUGAUCCAGCCAUGCCGCGUGAGUGAUGAAGGCCUUAGGGUUGUAAAGCUCUUUCGGCGGGGACGAUAAUGACGGUACCCGCAGAAGAAGCCCCGGCUAACUACGUGCCAGCAGCCGCAGUAA